AACUAUAACGAAACAGAUAGAUGUACCUAUAUAGAUAAAU
rnacentral:guide_RNA from 1 species